CUCUUUACUCUAUCCUAAUCUUGGGAGUUGCCACACUCGUUGUAUGCAAAAAAAGGGAAGAAAAAAAACUGAACAGACGAGUGGGGGAAUAAUGAGAAACUUUAAAGCUCACGAUUCCUCCCGAAAAUGGAAAAAGAAAAGCCCGCGACACUAACAUCCACACCCAUUUAAAAAUCACAACCAUGGACGAAACAGUAGCAAACUUGCAACUUUGUUGCCAAAACAAAACUCGAAUGUCUAAAAUAAAAGCAAAAACAGGUUUUGGAAAGAACAAACAUCAGACGUCGGUUUUAUAUAUGACAAUAAAAAAAAGAAAGUUGAGACUUACCUGCAGAUAUUUCUUGCUUUAAAUGUAACAAAUGAAGUGCAAACUGCUGAAAAGAAAAAUUAUGUUUUCUUGCCUCUAGUAAACGAAGAAAGACCUCCUUUUUUUGCUGUUAGGAGCUCUUUCCACCCCUUUCAGAGUUUUAUGACGUCCUAUCCGGCAAGGUAAGAUAGGCUGAAGGUAAUCUGCUCUCUCUUCCUCCUUGCUUUCUCUGCUUUCCUAUUCUCGGUCUUCUCCUUGUUCCCUAUGUUUUCUUUUUUUCUCCAUCGUUUGUUUUUUGGUCUCUCUCCCCCUCUUUUUUUUUCUCCCCUUUUUCCCUUCUGUCUUUUCCUUUUCUUUCUCUGCUUACCUGUUUCCUCUCCCUCGCCCCACUUUUCUCCUUUUCUUUCUCCUCUCUCUGUUUCAGUCUCCUCUGUCACUCCCGUUUUUCUUUCUCAUCUUUUCUCUCUCUCAUUCUCUCCUUUUUUCCUCUCUUUUUCUCGUUUCUCCCCCCUCUUUAGGUCAACAGAGGAGGCAUAUAUAUAGCAUAUACAUAACUCUAUUUAGGAAAGACUCAUUACACUAAUCUAGGAUAUAAUCUCGGCUGAUUUACAAUCAAAUAAAGCAAAUUAGAAAACUAAAAUAUUCUGUAAUUUGUAUUCCAUGAUUCCAGCAAUUAUUCUUCAUGUUAACACUCUCAUCCAGCCGUCUGUGUUAGGGAUAGAAUCCCAGCCAUUAAAUGAUGGUGAAGCUCAUCUUCGUGUCUUCUUUCAAGCUGGCGCAGUGAUGUUCAAAGUUGUUUUCUUUGGACUGAAGCAGAAAAACUGUGAUUUGCAGCCUAAAAAUCGGGCGUGAAAAGCGGUGAUACUGACCCAAAGACUCAAAGAUGAGAGAAUAAUGAGAAACUAACGGGAACGGUUGUGCUGCGAAGUUGCAAACGAUGGCCUUUUUUUUAAGUGGGAUAUAUGAAGGUAAGGAAACGGUGCUGUUGGUUUU
rnacentral:lncRNA from 1 species